rnacentral:rRNA from 1 species
UACGAAGGGGGCUAGCGUUGCUCGGAAUCACUGGGCGUAAAGGGUGCGUAGGCGGGUCUUUAAGUCAGGGGUGAAAUCCUGGAGCUCAACUCCAGAACUGCCUUCGAUACUGGAAAGCUCGAGUCCGGGAGAGGUGAGUGGAACUGCGAGUGUAGAGGUGAAAUUCGUAGAUAAUUCGCAAGAACACCAGUGGCGAAGGCGGCUC